CCUACGGGAGGCACCAGUGGGGAAUUUUCCGCAAUGGGCGAAAGCCUGAUCCAGCAAUGCCGCGUGUGUGAAGAAGGUCUUCGGAUUGUAAAGCACUUUCGACGGGGACGAUGAUGACGGUACCCGUAGAAGAAGCCCCGGCUAACUUCGUGCCAGCAGCCGCGGUAAUACGAAGGGGGCUAGCGUUGCUCGGAAUGACUGGGCGUAAAGGGCGCGUAGGCGGUUUAUGCAGUCAGAUGUGAAAUCCCCGGGCUUAACCUGGGAACUGCAUUUGAGACGCAUAGACUAGAGGUCGAGAGAGGGUUGUGGAAUUCCCAGUGUAGAGGUGAAAUUCGUAGAUAUUGGGAAGAACACCGGUGGCGAAGGCGGCAACCUGGCUCGAUACUGACGCUGAGGCGCGAAAGCGUGGGGAGCAAACAGGAUUAGAUACCCCAGUAGUC
rnacentral:rRNA from 1 species